GUUGGAUUAGCUGAAGUUUCCAGUCCGUUAUAUAUCGGGUUGGAAUUGAUGUAAUUGGUGCUGACAUCUAAAACUGACAGCCUAAUGUGAAUUGUUUUCAUUUGUUCAAUUUCAGUAGGAGGAAUAUAGCUGUAGAAAUAAUACAACUAUAGAAAUAAUAAGAUCCAUCCAUGUCCUGAAUACCCCCA
rnacentral:lncRNA from 12 species